AUUGAACGCUGGCGGCAGGCCUAACACAUGCAAGUCGAACGCGUGGCGGACGGGUGAGUAAUGUCUGGGAAACUGCCCGAUGGAGGGGGAUAACUACUGGAAACGGUAGCUAAUACCGCAUACCAUCGGAUGUGCCCAGAUGGGAUUAGCUAGUAGGUGGGGUAAUGGCUCACCUAGGCGACGAUCCCUAGCUGGUCUGAGGGGAUGACCGGCGACACGGGAACUGUGACACGGUCCAACCGCCUACAGGAGGCAGCAGGGGGGAAUAUUGCAAAAUGGGCGAAAGCCUGAGGCAGCCAUGCCGCGUGUAUGAAGAAGGCCUUCGGGUUUUAAAGUACUAUCAGCGAGUAGCCGUUACUCGCAGAAGAAGCACCGGCUAACUCCGUGCCAGCAGCCGCGGUAAUUC
rnacentral:rRNA from 1 species